rnacentral:rRNA from 1 species
UGAGGAAUAUUGGUCAAUGGGCGCGAGCCUGAACCAGCCAAGUCGCGUGAGGGAAGACGGUCCUAUGGAUUGUAAACCUCUUUUGUCGGGGAGCAAGAAAGGGUAUGCAUAACCUACUGAGAGUACCCGAAGAAAAAGCAUCGGCUAACUCCGUGCC